GGUGAACGCUAGCUACAGGCUUAACACAUGCAAGUCGAGGGGCAUCACAGUGUAGCAAUACACGGGUGGCGACCGGCGCACGGGUGCGUAACACGUAUCCAAUCUGCCCGUUACUCGGGGAUAGCCUUCUGAAAAGGAAGAUUAAUACCCGAUGGCAUGUAUUUCCGGCAUCGGAGAUACAUUAAAGAUUUAUCGGUAACGGAUGAGGAUGCGUACGAUUAGCUGGUUGGCGGGUAACGGCCCACCAAGGCUACGAUCGUUAGGGGUUCUGAGAGGAAGGUCCCCCANACUGGAACUGAGACACGGUCCAGACUCC
rnacentral:rRNA from 1 species